rnacentral:tRNA from 1 species
GGUAUAGCCAAGGGGUAAGGCAACAGACUUUGACUCUGUCAGCGGUGGUUCGAAUCCACCUAC